rnacentral:lncRNA from 1 species
CCCUGAGCUUGGAGGUGUGUUAACUCCAGAAAGGCAUGAAAUAUUGCUUAAUGUUUAUUGUUUAAGCCACCAGUUUGGGGUAUCAGUUAUGCACCCUGAGCUAAUAUUUUUAAUAAGAUUCUCGUUUUUCUCUCAUUAGGUUCAUGCUGGCGGCUGAAUUUUGUUCUUCCCAAAUCCAUAUGUUGAAUUAAUAACUCCCAAAUUAUUUGAAGACGGGGCUUUAAGAAGGUGAUUAAGGUUUUAAAAAAGAUUGGUUGUAUUGUAAAAGUUGCUUCCUGAUUUAAUAGGACUUGUGUCCUAGUAAGGAGAGUAAGUCACCUGUGGGAGACCAACCUUACACGUGACUGAGUCAACCCCUACAUUCUAAGAUAGUGGUCCACUCUAUAGACAUAAAUUUAAAAGAUUUCAUUCAAGUUAGGGGACAUCUCCAUGAACUUUCUUUAUCAUUUUAAAAGACAACAACCGUAGACUUUACAAUAUGACCAUAAGAACUGAACACAACCAACCCAUGUUAUUCCCAAGUUUCAUGUUCUAUAACUUAAUGUAUUGAGCUUAUAUUGUAACAUUUUAAACCAAUAAUUUAUACACCAAUACUGCACAAAUAACUCUUGCUUUUUAUAACAUGUUGUCAAAAUAAAUGUGUCUUCCAGGUUGAAACACCCAAGGGAAUUGUUUUAGGAGGGUCUGACAUAAGGAGAUUACAUUUAGUUUUAAUUUACAUUUAAUUUGCUGUUACAUUUGAGGCUAUUUAUUUUCAAGCAAGGUCUUUUUUUCUCUAUUGUCUUUAUUCCUUUGAUGUACAGCUCCAUAAAGAUGUCAGUGGAAUUCUUCACCUUUCUACCAGAGGUCUUUAAGUAAUUUCAGAAGCAUAUUUUAUUUCUGAUUUUAUGAAUGCAGAACUGGAGACAAAGGGGCCUUCAGUCAAUUGCUCAGGGACACAGAGAAUCAGCAGCAGCUCUGUGUGGGGGUGUGAAAGCCCUUCUCUCUCUGGAAUAUCCUCUUCUAAUUGCUGAGCAGAGCCACCUAAUGUACACUUUGCUUUUAGAGAGCAAUAGUUAUUGUUACCUGAACUAGCAUAGACUAAAUUAUAAUCCCAUAAUAUGUGAAAUUACUUUUUUCAGUAACUUAGUGCCAUAUUUUUCUGGAAUUCUAUACAGAGUUCAGGUGUGUGUGUGUGCGCGCGCGCGCGUGUGUGUGUGUGUGUGUUUUAUUCUAACUACUAUGGCCUCAAGAAUUUUUUUUUUUUUUGUCUCCAGAGCUGGAGUAUCUGAUCUCUUCCUUGUUUAGUCAGGGAUGCAACAGAGAUAGCAAAUCAUUUAUUUAUUUAUUUAUUUAUUUAUUUAUUUAUUUAUUUAUUUUAGGAAAGUCAAGUACAACAUUGGACUUCUUACAGAAAUCAAGAAUGCUAUCAACAAUUGGCUGGCACUGAAGAUAAAACUUGCUCAAAUUAAUGCUACCUAAUGUUGCAAUUAGUUUAUCAUUACUUUUUGAUACAUUUUAACCAAAUUGUUUUUUUUCUUUUUCUUUUUUUGUUGUAUUGAUGCAUUAUACAUAGUAGAAUUCAGUGCUGAAUAUUUAUACACACAUGCAAUAUAGCCAAGGGAUUCGGUCAGUUUCACUUUCCAGUACCUUCCUUUUCCCUCUCCUCUUCCCCUCUCUGAUCCUCUUCCUCUAAUCUUCUGGUCUCCCUUCUGUGUCCAUAUCCCUCCAUCUUAUAUUCCUAAUAUUUUUUUUCUGAGAAUUUCACUUCAAUUUCAUUUAAAUGCCCUUUUUUUAAAAAAUGAUUUCUCCCUCUUCUAGUUCUCUGUCCAAAACUUACAAAUAUCUUUUUCUUAGCUUUGUCACUUUAUAACAAAAUAACAACAAAAUAUAACAACAAAAAUAACAUCAUACACUAAACUGAAGUAAGGACCACAGAUAAAUAUUUUUCAUUCAACAUACAUACUUAAAAAGAAUAUUGAAGUUCCAUACAGAAUCAAUGAGCUCUAAAAUUAAAAAAUAACAUCCUAGGACACAAAAUGCUGGUUUGUAAGAGACAACAGGUGAGUCAGCAAGCUUUGUUACUCUGGGCAUAAUGUAAUCCCUAGGUGGAUCAGUGUGCUUAUCACAAAACCAGAAGACACCACCAGGAGAUUUUAACUCAGAGUGUCCCUGGUGGGUCUGUUUAUCCCCCCUGGGAACCAUGAAGUCUAACAUUCAUGUGGCCCAUCAGACUUUGUUCUAGCUGAAAACGUACAUCCCUGUUGAAUCUACACAACAGUCUUACGAAGUGGGAACUAUUAGCAUAAGCACCAUUGCACAGGAGAGGAGGCUGAGAUCAGAGAGAAUUGUUAUGCUCAUGAAUGAAGCACAUGUCCCUCUUGGAGAUGUCCACCUCCGAGCCCAUGCUCUCAACCACUGUGUGGUUCUGACUCUGAGCCUGGUGCCUCCACCUGUACAUGUAUCUUUGCGGGGAGAGAGGGUGUGGCAUUAAUGAAUUUCUGCAGAAGUGAGCUGAAACUGUUCCCACAUUCUAGGAGAGCGUUGUCUGAAACACUGAAACUUCCACCUUCCUUAGGCCUCAGCAGACCUCCGGCCUUCCCUGAUCUGCAUUUCAGGAGCUGGACAGAGGUUCCAAUGGAAAUGGAAAUAUCCAGUUCUCUAAGAACUAUUUUCAUGUCUGUUAGUUUUAUGCUACAAGCUAGUAAAGGAUAUGGGAAACUUCUCCUCCCACCAAAAGAAUUUAAAAGUAUAGAUGAACACAUAUUAACCAUAUUUUCUUUAAAGGUAGACUGCAUCUUGGCAUGAUUUGGAAAAUUUAGAAGUACCAGAAAUCUUAGAAAUUCUCUCCUUUAUUCCCUGAUUUUGAAGUUUGGAGUUAGAAAUGGAUAGUGAACGGGUUAGCCUCACACAGCUAGUUGGUCUGUGGCCCUGAUACACACAGUCCUAUUGCUGCAUCAAAUUAUAUUUGAAAUGGAGAUGCUUUUGUGUAGGAAAUGAUGUCUGCUUCAUCUAGUAAAAACUUGCAUCUCACACAUGCUAUGCAGUAGCUGUUUACACAAAUGUGAGCUGCACUUUCUGUACUCUGCUUUAUACCAUGUAUGAGAAGAAAGGUGAUCAAGUGUCCCUAAGGGAAUUCCAGGUCAUUCUUAGGUAGAUUUUCACCAAAUGAUUUGGGAGCAAUGGAGUCGGCGACAAGCGAGGACUGUCACAGUUACUUUGCGCUGUGUAACUGGGGCUCAGUGACCCAGGCAGAUAUGGUCACUGUGCUCUGGGUCUGUCUUAGGGCAGGACCCCAUCUCCUACCCCAAGCUCCACCAGGCAGUGGACAUUCACAGAAUCUGGCACACUUUAAAAUUAUUUUUGUUUUUAUUUCACUCUGCACAUCUCUGCUGGAGUAAGGUCCUAGUGGUGA